GACGAACGCUGUUGGCGUGCCUAACACAUGCAAGUCGAGCGAAGUGAGUACUACGGUACGAACUUAGCGGCGGACGGGUGAGUAACGCGUGGACAAUCUACCCUGUAGACUGGGAUAACACCUCGAAAGGGGUGCUAAUACCGGAUAAUGUCGAGAAGCGGCAUCGCUUUUCGAAGAAAGGAGAGAAUCCGCUAUAGGAGGAGUCCGCGUCCCAUUAGCUAGUUGGUGAGGGUAACGGCCCACCAAGGCGACGAUGGGUAGCCGGCCUGAGAGGGUGAACGGCCACACUGGAACUGAGACACGGUCCAGACUCCUACGGGGGGCAGCAGUGGGGAAUAUUGUGCAAUGGGGGAAACCCUGACACAGCAACGCCGCGUGAGCGAAGAAGGCCUUCGGGUUGUAAAGCUCAAUAGUAUGGGAAGAUAAUGACGGAACCAUACGAAAGCCCCGGCUAACUACGUGCCAGCAGCCGCCGUAAUAC
rnacentral:rRNA from 1 species